ACCACUCACACACCCUACAUCUCUCCUCCAUCCAAUGGCUGGCAGCAGAAUAUUUUGUUCUCGUCCCAUUAACUGCGAUCCGUCCCACACGCGCCGUUAAUUCUGCAUCAGCUCCAUAGUUCCGCACCACCGCGGUCUCCGCGUCCACCGACCGCAUAUGUCUCCUCCCGAUCUAUUCUCCUCGCCGGAAUCGUCCCCGCUCCUCUCCUCCUCGUCAUUCCUCUACUGCCACCUGACUACUGGAUUCGCCCGCCGUUCCUGAUUCGCAGCCGCCCAGCAACCUAUCACCGCGCCGCGUUCAUGAUUCGCAGCCGCCCAGCAACCUGCUGGGCAGCUGCUUCGCGAUGCGACCUGCUGCCAUCCGAUCUACAGUCGUAGCACUAUACCACUCUCCUACAUGGACAGUCAGUGUCCGAUCCAUUGGUGACCGCCGAUGGAGACGACUCAGCCGGGCCUUCAAGUCUACAGACAUGGGAAAUCAGCGGGCCAUGUCGAUUCGUCGACUACAUGAUUCGGGCUGUUCGAUGGGAGGGAAGUGAUUUAGGGAAGGGUAGGCUCACCUGCCCGAGUCGAUCAAAGCAGUGUAGCAUUCCUGCGGGCAGCAAUCAGCACAACCAUGAGUACAGUAGGUCCUGUUCCGGCCGGCUGCAAUCAUCACAACGAUGCGCAGAGUGGGGCGAUACUGCUGCAGCUCGCAUCGUGCACGAGCACAUCUCGGAAUGGGGCCGCAUAAGACUGUUCCGUUGAGGCAGGAAGCACGACCACCAUCUGUAGGAAGCACGAUCACAUCUAAAUGAAGCACGAUGACCAAAAAAGUAUGGUCAAAAUCAGCCGGUGCGUCUGAAGAAUCACAAGCACAACAUGGAUGAAGCACGGCCAACAUUGACAAGUAGCAUGUAGCAUGAUCACCAUAUGAAGGAAGCAAAGCUACCGCAGCAAGGACACAUGCAUGAAUCAGAAGGAAGCACAUCAUCACCAUCAGCUCUUGGUGUCCGCAUUGUGCAUACAUGCCACAAGAUAGAUACCUAGAUGCCGCUUUUUGUUCUAUGGAAGCAAACACGGAGAAUGUGACACGUUCCAUGGCGGGGGCAUGCAUAGAAGCAUGGUGGAAGCAAGCAGAUAUUUUCCAUUACUGCAUUACAUGUCAUUAUAAAACUUGUAAUUUCCAAUUAAUAUAUAUUUGGCCAUGGAAGCACAUCUCCAUUCAAUAGGAGCAAAUAUUUAAUUCUUUAGAAGCUCAUCCUAUUUCUUCAGAAGCAUGUAUAAUUAUUGCAGCGAAAAUAAUUGCAUUGUUGUCGGAAAAAUAUUCAUAUUAUGUUGGAAGCAAGACUUGUCGAUGGAAG